UGGGGAAUAUUGGACAAUGGAGGAAACUCUGAUCCAGCAAUUCUGUGUGUGUGAAGACGGUUUUAGGACUGUAAAACACUUUUAGUAGGGAAGAAAAAAAUGACGGUACCUACAGAAGAAGCAACGGCUAAAUACGUGCCAGCAGCCGCGGUAAUACGUAUGUUGCGAGCGUUAUCCGGAAUUAUUGGGCUUAAAGGGCAUCUAGGCGGUAAGACAAGUUGAAGGUGAAAACCUGUGGCUCAACCAUAGGCUUGCCUACAAAACUGUUGAACUAGAGUACUGGAAAGGUGGGUGGAACUACACGAGUAGAGGUGAAAUUCGUAGAUAUGUGUAGGAAUGCCGAUGAUGAAGAUAACUCACUGGACAGAAACUGAAGAUGAAGUGCGAAAGCUAGGGGAGCAAACAGG
rnacentral:rRNA from 1 species